AAUGAACGCUGGCGGCAGGCCUAACACAUGCAAGUCGAACGGACCCUUCGGGAUUAGUGGCGGACGGGUGAGUAACGCGUGGGAACGUGCCCUUUGGUUCGGAAUAGCCUCGGGAAACUGGGAGUAAUACCGGAUAAGCCCUUCGGGGGAAAGAUUUAUCGCCAAAGGAUCGGCCCGCGUUGGAUUAGGUAGUUGGUGGGGUAAUGGCCUACCAAGCCGACGAUCCAUAGCUGGUUUGAGAGGAUGAUCAGCCACACUGGGACUGAGACACGGCCCAGACUCCUACGGGAGGCAGCAGUGGGGAAUCUUAGACAAUGGGGGAAACCCUGAUCUAGCCAUGCCGCGUGAUCGAUGAAGGCCUUAGGGUUGUAAAGAUCUUUCAGUUGGGAAGAUAAUGACGGUACCAACAGAAGAAGCCCCGGCUAACUCCGUGCCAGCAGCCGCCGUAAUAC
rnacentral:rRNA from 1 species